rnacentral:rRNA from 1 species
GACGAACGCUGGCGGCGUGCCUAAUACAUGCAAGUAGAACGAGUGGCGGACGGGUGAGUAAUGUCUGGGAAACUGCCCGAUGGAGGGGGCUAACUACUGGAAACGGUAGCUAAUACCGCAUACCAUCGGAUGUGCCCAGAUGGGAUUAGCUAGUCGGUGGGGUAACGGCUCACCUAGGCGACGAUCCCUAACUGGUCUGAGAGGAUGACCAGCAACACUGGAACUGUGGCACGGCCCAGACUCCUACGGGAGGCAGCAGUAGGGAAUCGUCGGCAAUGGACGGAAGUCUGACCGAGCAACGCCGCGUGAGUGAAGAGGGUUUUCGGAUCGUAAAGCUCGUUGUUAGAGAAGACGGUAACUAACCAGAAAGGGACGGCUAACUACGUGCCAGCCGCCGCGGUAAUAC